GAUGAAGAACGUAGCGAAAUGCGAUACGUAAUGUGAAUUGCAGAAUUCAGUGAAUCAUCGAGUCUUUGAACGCACAUUGCGCCCCCUGGUAUUCCGGGGGGCAUGCCUGUCCGAGCGUCAUUGCUGCCCUCAAGCACGGCUUGUGUGUUGGGCCUCCGUCCUCCUCCCGGGGGACGGGCCCGAAAGGCAGCGGCGGCACCGCGUCCGGUCCUCGAGCGUAUGGGGCUCCGUCACCCGCUCUUGUAGGCCCGGCCGGCGCUUGCCGACACAUCAAUCUUUUUUCCAGGUUGACCUCGGAUCAGGUAGGGAUACCCGCUGAACUUAAGCAUAUAAUAAGCGGAGGA
rnacentral:misc_RNA from 1 species